AAACUGCAGAGUAGCACAGGGAGAAAAGAAAGCACUGAUAUAGAAACUGAGGAGCCACACUGUGUAGGCUCUUGGAGGCCUGAUGUCUGACACUGUACAGCCUGCCUUCGGUAGCCGUUCUGGUAGUAUUUCAUGUGCCCGGAGUAAAUUUGUACUAAACAACCAGAUGAGCCCAUAGGGCAUUUUCUUAUGACCAUACCAAGAGCUCCACAGGAGACAUGCCCAGCUCUGCCAACUGAUAAGGCAAUCCUCCUGGCCUGAUCACAUGGGGGCCAUGUGGAUCUCAGCAUGUAAAGGAAAAAGAAGGAGGAGCACUCCAGGAGGAAACAGCCCAUGAGAGGAUCACCCUAAAAAGGAAGUAGGCAAUCCAGUUCUGACCUGCUCCAAGUCGUGGUAAGCGAUUUCGGAGCAGCCUGAGGGUUCGGGCUACCCCUUGUCCUUCCAUCGUUCUGGGCUUGGGGGGCAUGAAUGUUCUUUCUCCUUCAGGCUGGCCACAGAAAGCCUGAGAAAGUGCCUUCUGCUUUGGUCUCCAAUCACAGCUUUAUUAAGCUGAACCAUGUGCUGUCUCCCAAAAGCAGAGAGCAGUUUCCAUCCUGUGUACUCCGUCGUUGAGCAAGAAGGAUGUGAAAGGACCCACGAGGCAGCUUAAUGUGGGCACUGACAGAGGCAGCAUCCUGGCACUACAGCUCAGCUCUUGGCUCCUCCCAAGAGCCCCAGGGUGUGGUAAGAGAAAAGGUCAUGAGCAAACAUCUCAAGGCACAGCUGCUUCUGGACUAAGGGCUUUGAAUUCCGGUGCCGCAGACCAUGUGUUGCUCAUCAGAAGCUGCAAAGUCCUACCAGACCAACUGGCGAAUUAUAAAACACAGGACUUCAGGAUCUUGUCAACCAAGAACACAGGACUGGACACUUCCUGCAGCCAAGAUGCCACUGCCUUGUCCUGAUUCAGAUAAGUAGACCUGCCCAAUGAUUCUCUAAAUAACUUCUAGAAAGAGAGGGAGUCUCUUGACAGACCCCAUGGAUCUUCUCCUGAUGGUGAAGUAAAGAACAAAGCCCACCUCUGAGAGUUCCUGAUACUGAUAGUAUAACUAUAAAGGCAACACCCUUCCCCUGAAACAUGUCCCAGGCAGAGAACUCUUUCACUGUGACUGUUCCAGGGCUCCAGCAGAUUCCCUCUUUCUAAAGGAAGCACUGACUCAGGAAAUUGUCCCUAGCCUAGAGUAGGGGACUGGUUGCAUCAGCAUCAGUCGGGAUACAGAGCACCUUCACCCCUCCACAGCCCCUGCUCAGCCUUUCUCCUGGUUGGGCCAGGUCAACAUCCUAAGCUGCAGACCCAGUGCUGUGUCUGGAGGUUGAGGAAGAGCGGGAAAGUAGUCAUUGAUAACCCAGGUUUCUCACAGAAAGUCCUGAAUAAGGAAAUGCAUGGGAUGAGAGAGAAGAGCCUUUGCGAGGAAGUUGCUUAAUGGGGAGGGAGGAAGCAAAAAGAUCUGGUGCCUGUGUCUGCCACUCCUACAAAGAAUUAGCAGCCCUCUGGGAGGGAGUGUGUUGCUAUGGUAGGAAGGGCUGUUGCUCUGCUCCUAAGAGCUCUAAAAAUGAGCCUUUGUGGCACCAGUAAAAGUGGGGACUCAGAGGUCCAAAGCUGACUUGUUGGGGAAGCCCCAGUCAUCAUAAAUAGGAUGAGAGCUGGAUCAGUGAGAGGGAUGAACCAGGCAGUCUUUGUGUCUUUCUUGUACCCUGUAUAGACUCCUUACACAAUCUGCACCUGCCUGAUACAGAAGUGAAAACUGAGGCAUUAAUUACUCAGGUGAUUUAAAAUGAACAGGGUCUAUAGAAGAUGGGCAUUAUAAGGGUUCCAAAUUCAGGCUCAGGCCUUCUGGUGUAUUACAUAGUCAACAUCCCAUGGGGUGUGUGUGUGUGUGUGUGUGUGUGUGUGUGUGUGUGUGUGUGUGUGUGUUGGGGGUGGGGCAGUAAGCAAAUAGCUUGCAAAGCCAGAAUGGUCUUCCCGAUCAUUCCAGAACCUCAGGAAAUAAGUCUUUUCCUAAGUCCUUGGGGCAGCAUUUUCACACCAUUUCCUCCUGCUUUAUCAGGAGAAAUGAGGGAACAGCAGAGUCAGAAAUCCUAGACCAAAGCAAAGUAACUAGACUUUUCGGGCUGAGGCUCAAGAGAUUCAACAAAAAAGUGCCUUCUCCUUCUCCCCCUUUCAAAAGCGGUUAUCACUGAAAAGCCUGAGAAGAACUAAUCCGCAUCAAAUUCCUGCAUACUGUAAGGCAUCUCACUUAAUCCCUAAUGCCCUGGAAUGGAUUUAUCCUCAUUUGUAAUUGAGGAAGGAGCCACCCUUCUAGGGAAGUCAAGAGUCUGGUUCUACUCUUUCCUCCACCAAGAAGUCCCUCCCACAGGCACCUGAAGGAAAGAGGGGACUUUGGGGAACCUUGAUCUGAAAAGUUGUUUGUUCUUUGCUGAGCUGCUAGUGCUAGCAACCCAGAACCAGAGCAGCCGUCUUCCCUACCAGUGUUUUUCACAAACACACACACACACACACACACACACACACACACACACGCCCCACUCUGAGAAACAACUGCCUGAGCCAGAAGGGGAAAUCCCCCAGGAAGCAGGAGGAUAGCAAAAAAGAUGAAAAAGCCACACCCAUAUGACCUGACAGGUGCUAAACUUGUGAACAGGCACAUAUGUGCCUGCCUUCCUGUUCCUCAACCACAAGGAAGCCCCUCCAGAUACCAUUGCAUGUAAAGGGUAAGGCGAGAGAACAACUGAAAUGUGUCCUCUUGAAGUCCGGGAAGCAGAUUCCAGCCACUCAGCAGAUUACCCAGAUCUAGGAAGCCCAAGAAAACCAAAACCAAGCCAGGAAAAAAAAAAGAAAAGAAAAGACACAUCUCCUCCCUACAUACUGCUCCAGCGAUUGCAGACCCCUCCCUUGCAUGCAGAUGGAAGGGGCACAUGCAAGGACAACCACAGCUGGAGCACCACAUCUGGAGCAGGCAGGAGGGUGGCAGAAGUGAGAAAGGACAAAAAGAGCAGAGCAGUCACAAGUCACCGCAGUUCUGAGAAGGAAGCACUGACCUCAACUCUGGGGCUCUCCAACCCUGGGGCCUAUUAGAGGGGCCCACUGACCUCUUCACUUGCAAAUACUGGAAGGGGUGAGCUCUUUGGGGAUGACCCUUAAAAUCCUUUCAGUCCUCUUUUCAGAAGCAUGGGCUCUGUGCAAACCCGGGGGUGGUAGCUCAGCCAUAGCCCUGGCCAGACAUAAACAGCAACAGAUGUUUGUUGAAUGAAUGGACACAUUAAUAAAUCCUAAUCGCCUUUCUUCCAAAUUCCAGUGCUCCAGAUACGAAGAAAGGAAACACGAUGAGACGUCUCAUUUCACCCCUACCAUCCACCCGGAACAGGGAAAAGAUUCCCAUCUCACAGAUACUUGCGUGAAAGAACAUGAAAGGACAUGGCUGUCCCCAAGUUCCUUUUCUUAUGAGACCCACAGCUUAUACAACUCUCACAAGAGAAGGAGCUGCUCAUGAACACCUUGUCCUCCAACAUAUUGAUGUUAUUGUGUCUUAAUUGGCCCAAAUGGUGUUUUCUUCCUUGAAAAGCAGAUGAUUAAGAAUACAUGUGCACCAAGAAGACAAGGAAAAGAAGAUUAACAAAAAUUUAUUUGAAGCAGCCUUAAUGUGGAAACAACCUCACAUGUUCAUUAACAGAAAAUAGGUGAAUCAUGGCAAAAGUGUACAAUUGUGUAUUACGCAGGAAUAAAAGUAAAUA